GACAUCAUCCUCCAGGAAGUGACAACAUUUUGGAGGGAAAGCACCAGCACAAACAUCUAUUCCUCCCCAAAAAUCAAGUUCAAUCAGGACUUCAAAGUGCACCAAUUGUCUUCAAGUGAAGAGGUCUCCAAGACUCUGACAGGGAAACCACUCCUCAAACAAUAGAGACUUCACGGCUCAUUGAGGGCCUGCUGGUGCUACGUAACUGGGGAAGAGAUGUGCGUUCCCUCCCCA